rnacentral:rRNA from 1 species
AGUGAACGCUGGCGGUAGGCCUAACACAUGCAAGUCGAACAGCAGCACAGUAAGAGCUUGCUCUUACGGGUGGCGAGUGGCGGACGGGUGAGGAAUACAUCGGAAUCUACUUUUUCGUGGGGGAUAACGUAGGGAAACUUACGCUAAUACCGCAUACGACCUACGGGUGAAAGCAGGGGGUCUUCGGACCUUGCGCGAUUGAAUGAGCCGAUGUCGGAUUAGCUAGUUGGCGGGGUAAAGGCCCGCCAAGGCGACGAUCCGUAGCUGGUCUGAGAGGAUGAUCAGCCACACUGGAACUGAGACACGGUCCAGACUCCUACGGGAGGCAGCAGUGGGGAAUAUUGGACAAUGGGCGCAAGCCUGAUCCAGCCAUACCGCGUGGGUGAAGAAGGCCUUCGGGUUGUAAAGCCCUUUUGUUGGGAAAGAAAAGCAGCAGGUUAAUACCCCGCUGUUCUGACGGUACCCAAAGAAUAAGCACCGGCUAACUUCGUG